rnacentral:rRNA from 1 species
CCGAAAGCCAGGGGAGCAAACCGGAUUAGAUACCCGGGUAGUCCUGGCUGUAAACGAUGCCCACUAGGUGUGGGGGGAUAAUCCCUCCGUGCUGAAGCUAACGCGUUAAGUGGGCCGCCUGGGGAGUACGCCCGCAAGGGUGAAACUCAAAGGAAUUGACGGGGGCCCGCACAAGCGGUGGAGCGUGUGGUUUAAUUGGAUGCUAAGCCAAGAACCUUACCAGGGCUUGACAUGCCGGUGGUACCUCCCCGAAAGGGGUAGGGACCCAGUCCUUCGGGACUGGGAGCCGGCACAGGUGGUGCACGGCCGUCGUCAGCUCGUGCCGUGAGGUGUUGGGUUAAGUCCCGCAACGAGCGCAACCCCUGCCCCUAGUUGCCAGCGGUUCGGCCGGGCACUCUAGGGGGACUGCCGGCGACGAGCCGGAGGAAGGAGGGGAUGACGUCAGGUACUCGUGCCCCUUAUGCCCUGGGCGACACACGCGCUACAAUGGGCGGUACAAUGGGUUGCGACCCCGCGAGGGGGAGCCAAUCCCCAAAGCCGCCCUCAGUUCGGAUCGCAGGCUGCAACCCGCCUGCGUGAAGCCGGAAUCGCUAGUAAUCGCGGAUCAGCCAUGCCGCGGUGAAUACGUUCCCGGGCCUUGUACACACCGCCCGUCACGCCACCCGAGUCGGGGGCUCCCGAAGACACCUGCCCCAACCCGAAAGGGAGGGGGGGUGUCGAGGNAGAACCUGGCGAGGGGGGCGAAGUCGUAACAAGGUAGCCGU